rnacentral:tRNA from 1 species
UCCCUGGUAGCUCAGACUGUAAAGAAUCUGCCUGCAGUGCAGAAGACCUGGGUUUAAUCCCUGGCUUGGGAA